rnacentral:lncRNA from 1 species
GGAGGAGGCAUGGAGGAUGAUUGGUCAGAAUGCGGAAAUGAGUUGAUUUCUGUGGUUGAAAGCUGUGGAAGUGGGGGAGGGGAAGGGGAAUUUUUUUCUGUGGCUGGAGGUAGUUUGAGGACUGUUAGCGAGGCUAUGUCAGAGCUUGGGAGUACAAAAGGUGAGGGAGAACGAGAGAAAAAAAGAUUGGGGUUUUGGUUAGAGGUGUUUGGCGGGGAGGGUGUUGGUGAAGAUCGACAUCUUUUGAGUGAAGGCCUAGGGGUUGGAUCAGGAGAGGCCAAGGC